rnacentral:lncRNA from 1 species
AUGCGCAGCGCUGCUGGCCCGCUCUCUGAGGAGCUUUCAAUACUUUGGGGUCAAGUUUGAGGCAGUUGUAACUGUACUGAGUUUAGUUUUGCUAAUAAUGGUAUUCUACGUGUGUCAGCCUCGUGUGGACUUCUGUAAUGACUAAUGGAUAUGUUUAUAUCCUGAGCAUUUGCUGUAGGAAUUUUAAAUGCAAUCCCAAAACUCAAGAUUACCUUAUUUGGAGAAAUAUUCGUGUUACUAUGUUUAAAAUUUAAUAGAACCAUAUUUUACCUUUCACUUUGGGACUCGCACAGGAUGUUUGCAGCUCUUGAUAUACAGGAACUAGAACGUGUCUUUUAAGAGCAUGCGGUUUUAUAAUUACGUGGAAGUAUGCUACGCAAGGGAAAAAAGCCUCUUGCUAGUGUUAAGGGUCUUCAUAAACAGAAACCGCAAGGAACCUGGGAUCUGACAGCUGUUGGAGGAAUGCCUGUGAGGAAGGAGGAGGAACAGAAGAAUGCUUUGAUGUCUUAAAUGGUACAUCCAAACUUAAGUGAAAUAGAGCUGUGAGGACAUUUUGGGGAGAAGUGACCUAGAUAAGCACUGACUGUUGCAUUCAUCUCUCUUCUUGCUGAUUGUGAUGAUUUCCUGUGCCAUAGCCAUUCAAAGUCUGCCAAAAAAGGCCUUGCCUCCUGGAUGGCAUUUUUGAACCCACCCUGGGCCAGAGGGGAGCCCACUUCUUUGAAGACAGAAACACAGGACUGGCAACAUUUACCAUAAGCUGACUGAGCAGCCAUUGGGCCUUGAGUGAACAUUGGUGGUAGCCAGGCAGUACUUGUCUCAGUACUUGCCUCAGGCCUGGGGUGUCGGUGACCACAGGGAGAGCAUCCAUCUGCUUGAGGAAAGGAGAACAAAGAAAAUAAAGGGCUUAAUCUUGCACUUGAUUGCCAGCUCAGCCAUAGUAGAAUACAGCACCAAGUAAAUUCCUAAGGAUCCUGAUUCCAGGUCCUGGCUCCCAGAUGACAUUUUAGGACUUGUCUUGGGCUUAGGGGGAGCUCGUCAUACUGAAGGGAAAAACACAAGCCUGGCUGGAUUUGCCACCAGCUGAAUAAAGAGUGCUUGGGCCUUGAGUGAACAUUGGCAAUAGCCAAGGAGUGGUCACCAUGGACCUUAGGCAAGAAACCCGGUGCCGUGCUGGCUUUGGAUCUGACCCAGCAUAAUCUCACUGGUAUUUUACUUCUUGUCCAUUUACUUUUUAGUUUAUCAUACACACCAUGUUUACUAGUACUAAAACUGUCUUAAAAUAUUGCAAUUUUGACCCUUUUUCUAAUUGACCUUUAUGUUUUUACAAGCACAUUUUAUUACAUAUGAAUGAGACUUUACUAUGUUAUAUGUAACUCUUAAUUCUGUAAAUAAUAGAUUGCUUAUCUGAAAUAUAGCUGAUAUUUGUUUCUUAAUUAUUUGGCUAUUCCCUAUAUGUUAUACUCUACUAAAGAUCAUGGGAUUUAGAUUCAGAAAACUUACUUCCUAGCUCUUAUUAUUUCUGUGAUCUUGCAAAAGAAAACAAAAAUGAACCAUUGUUUUUUUAUCUGUAACAGGAAAUGUACUUCACAGGAUUGUAAUGAGAAUUAAAUUAGAUAAUAUACAUGAAAA